AAUUUUUGUUAGGCUGGUUUAGAUGAAGGUAUUAAGUGUCAAGGAAUGAACCUCAUUUCGUUGUCACUUGAAUAUCAUCAUCUAAAGCAAGCCUAACAAAAAUU
rnacentral:pre_miRNA from 1 species